rnacentral:rRNA from 1 species
AGUGAACGCUGGCGGUAGGCCUAACACAUGCAAGUCGAACGGCAGCACAGUAAGAGCUUGCUCUUACGGGUGGCGAGUGGCGGACGGGUGAGGAAUACAUCGGAAUCUACUUUUUCGUGGGGGAUAACGUAGGGAAACUUACGCUAAUACCGCAUACGACCUACGGGUGAAAGCAGGGGAUCUUCGGACCUUGCGCGAUUGAAUGAGCCGAUGUCGGAUUUGCUAGUUGGCGGGGUAAAGGCCCACCAAGGCGACGAUCCGUAGCUUGUCUGAGAGGAUGAUCAGCCACACUGGAACUGAGACACGGUCAAGACUCCUACGGGAGGCAGCAGUGGGGAAGAUUGGACAAUGGGCGCAAGCCUGAUCCAGCCAUACCGCGUGGGUGAAGAAGGCCUUCGGGUUGUAAAGCCCUUUUGUUGGGAAAGAAAAGCAGCAGGUUAAUACCCCGCUGUUCUGACGGUACCCAAAGAAUAAGCACCGGCUAACUACGUG